rnacentral:rRNA from 1 species
UACGAAGGGAGCUAGCGUUGUUCGGAAUCACUGGGCGUAAAGCGCACGUAGGCGGAUUUGUCAGUCAGGGGUGAAAUCCCGGGGCUCAACCUCGGAACUGCCUUUGAUACAGCAAGUCUUGAGUUUGAGAGAGGUGGGUGGAAUUCCUAGUGUAGAGGUGAAAUUCGUAGAUAUUAGGAAGAACACCGGUGGCGAAGGCGGCCCACUGGCUCGAUACUGACGCUGAGGUGCGAAAGCGUGGGGAGCAAACAGG